rnacentral:rRNA from 1 species
AACGAACGCUGGCGGCGUGCCUAACACAUGCAAGUCGAGCGGGAAAGCCCGCAGGGGUGAGUACAGCGGCGCACGGGUGCGUAACACGUGGGUAAUCUGCCCUGAAGCUCGGGAUAACUCGCCGAAAGGCGUGCUAAUACCGGAUAAGACCACGGGAGCCUCGGCUCCUGCGGGAAAAGGUGGCCUCUGUAUACAAGCUAUCACUUCAGGAUGAGCCCGCGGCCCAUCAGCUCGUUGGCGGGGUAACGGGCCACCAAGGCUACGACGGGUAGCUGGUCUGAGAGGACGAGCAGCCACAAGGGAACGGAGACACGGUCCAGACUCCUACGGGAGGCAGCAGUGGGGAAUCUUGCGCAAUGGGCGAAAGCCUGACGCAGCAACGCCGCGUGUGUGAUGAAGGUCUUCGGAUCGUAAAGCACUGUCGGGAGGGACGAAUAAGGGCCGGGUGAACAAUCCGGUUCGAUGACGGUACCUCCAAAGGAAGCACCGGCUAACUCUGUGCCAGCAGCCGCCGUAAGAC